rnacentral:lncRNA from 1 species
GGAUUUUGGAGGGAGAGGAACAGGCGGGGAUAAAAGCUCCAGGAAGCACUUGGGGGAGAAUAAAGAGGGAAGUGUGGAGAAGUGAACUUGGGAGACUACUGUGACAACAGCUCUUUGGCAUAUGAAGUUGAUCUUUUUUGUGCAUUAUUUUCCAAACAUUUCUACCUAUAAGGGACAAGAAUCUGCAGGCCCAUGGAUUAGUAGAAAAGUCAGCCACGGAUCUAGAAGAAAAUGAGUUUGCAAUUAAUGGGUAGUUGUAGUCCAGAAGGCGUUCAAGGAUUACUGGAAGACUACAUAGAGCUGAAAUUUGUAAGCUGUGGUUCUUAUACCUACAAGGUGAAACUGAAUAUUUCAUACAAUAAAAUAACAUCGAAA